GAAGGUCGUUAAUCGAAAAAUGAUACGGAGUGCGUUGUGUCGCGUUACGAAUUGAUAUGGUGAACUGCCCCCAGGAACGUAUCUACGACCUAGCCGAUUGCGACUACGUCUACUGCGAUAUGAAGAAGAUUUAGCGAAAGGACCGACAAACGUAAAGGGAACCAAAGCCCCGUCGCGUUUGCACUCUAACGCUCCUCCGGUUCUCCGAGCUACUAGCCUCGCAUGCUGGCAGCUAGCGUGCUAGCGAUAAUCCUUUGUGGUUUUCUAUUUGGCUCUAAAUUGUCCAUUUCCGGAAGGCAUUUGCGGCUGCCUCCAGUCAGCGGUUGGAGCCCAAGAAGCUUCUGGAUCGCUGCCGGCACUGCCGAAAGCCCCCGCACAUUUCUAUAGCCACAAUCGUGAUGGUCCUGAUGGAGCUGUGUGACUAAUUCUACAAGACAAAAGCAUACAUCCAAACUGAUUGUGCUAAGACGUAUGCACGACUAUUUUUCUUUGCUUGCUUUGGUGAAACAGUAUUGAUUGCCAUAGCGUUACAAUGUGGUCCCCUAUAUCCGGGUGCAUCAAUAUGUGUGAACGUCAAGAAACAAUGAGCCACCACGGCAUGUUUGUGGAAUGUAUGGCUUUUCUUCCCAUAUCAAAUCACCUAUGCUAUCGAAGACGAACCCGGCGUAGUCUAGUAAUCAUGAAAGUGUAAAUAAAAUAUGAGAUGAAUUUAUGAGGUGC